rnacentral:tRNA from 1 species
GGGAAUGUGGCUUAGUGGUACAGUACUUGCCUAGCAUGCAUGAAGCCCUAGGUUUGAUUCCUCAGUACCA